rnacentral:lncRNA from 10 species
GGACUGGUGAAAUUAACUACAGAACAUCCUCACCAUGGAAUACUAGGCAGCUGACAAACGAACAAACUCCACACACACACAAAACAAGAAAGCUCUUUAUGGACUGACAUAAGCUACAAAAUACAUUGUUAAAUGAAAAAGGCAAGAUGCAGAACAGAGUAUACUCUCCUUUGAGUAAAAGGGUGGAAUAACAUUUGAUACUUGCUUUAUUUAUAUGAAAUAGACACCUAGGAAACUAAUAAAAUUGACUUAUAGUGGAUGGAUGAGGUGGACAAUGGAAUAAAGAUAGAAGUAGAAGUAGCAGGGAGACUUUGUUUAUUUUGAGACAAGGGCUCACUGUUGCCCAGGCUGGAGUGUGGUGACACGAUUGUGGCUCUCUACAGUCUUGACCUCCCAGGGUCCAGCGAUCCUUCCACCUCAGCCUCCUGAGUAGUUGGGACUACAGGCACAUGCCACCACACCUGGCUAAUUUUUUGCUCAUUUUUUAGAGACAAGGUCUCACUAUAUUGCCCAGGCUGGUCUUGAACUCAUGGACUCAAGUAAUCCUCCCGCCUUGGCCUCCGAAAUUAUUAGGAUUACAGGUGUCAGCCACAGUGCCCAGCUGAGACUUCUUAAGGGAUAUCAAUUCUUUGAAGAAAUAGUUGAUUUCUUGAAUGACGCGAAUAUAUUACUUGGCCAAAAUAUUAAGUAGAAGAAAAAGGCUGACGCUUCGUGAGCG